rnacentral:snoRNA from 12 species
UGUCCUGUUUUAGUACCAGUCAUCUGCCUCUUCCAGAUGUGUGGCUAUGCUAACAGGAAAGAAAAAGCAUCCGUCAGUGUCUGAAGGGGUUGUGCAGCCUCUGUUUUGCAACCCCUAAUGAAAUGAUGGUACACACAAAA